AUUGCUUCUCGGCCUUUUGGCUAAGAUCAAGUGUAGUAUAAAAAUACAGAUAAUAGGACAUAUUUCUAUGGGCUGUUGUGAGAAUUAAAUGAAACAGUGCAGGUCAGCUUUUAUCAAUUUGCCUACUAUAC
ensembl:snRNA U2 U2 spliceosomal RNA